GACGAACGCUGGCGGCGUGCUUAACACAUGCAAGUCGAACGGAAAGGCCCUGCUUUUGUGGGGUGCUCGAGUGGCGAACGGGUGAGUAACACGUGAGUAACCUGCCCUUGACUUUGGGAUAACUUCAGGAAACUGGGGCUAAUACCGGAUAGGAGCUCCUGCUGCAUGGUGGGGGUUGGAAAGUUUCGGCGGUUGGGGAUGGACUCGCGGCUUAUCAGCUUGUUGGUGGGGUAGUGGCUUACCAAGGCUUUGACGGGUAGCCGGCCUGAGAGGGUGACCGGCCACAUUGGGACUGGGAUACGGCCCAGAGUCGUACGGGGGGCAGCAGUGGGGAAUGUGGAACAAUGGGGGGACGCCGGAGGCAGGAGCGCCGGGUGCGGGAGGACGUCCUUCGGGUUGGAAACGGCUUUCGCCUGUGACGAAGCGUGAGUGACGGUAAUGGGUAAAGAAGCACCGGCUAACUACGUG
rnacentral:rRNA from 1 species